UCUUGACCUCGGAUCAGGUAGGGAUACCC
rnacentral:rRNA from 1 species